rnacentral:precursor_RNA from 12 species
CCAGCAUGGGAAAGAAAUGGGUUCCUAGGAAGAGGUAGUAGGUUGCAUAGUUUUAGGGCAGGGAUUUUGCCCACAAGGAGGUAACUAUACGACCUGCUGCCUUUCUUAGGGCCUUAUUACUCCACGGUAACCUGC